rnacentral:rRNA from 1 species
GACGAACGCUGGCGGCGUGCCUAAUACAUGCAAGUCGAGCGCAGGAAAUCGACGGAACCCUUCGGGGGGAAGUCGACGGAAUGAGCGGCGGACGGGUGAGUAACACGUAAAGAACCUGCCCUCAGGUCUGGGAUAACCACGAGAAAUCGGGGCUAAUACCGGAUGGGUCAUCGGACCGCAUGGUCCGAGGAUGAAAGGCGCUUCGGCGUCGCCUGGGGAUGGCUUUGCGGUGCAUUAGCUAGUUGGUGGGGUAAUGGCCCACCAAGGCGACGAUGCAUAGCCGACCUGAGAGGGUGAUCGGCCACACUGGGACCGAGACACGGCCCAGACUCCUACGGGAGGCAGCAGUAGGGAAUCUUCCACAAUGGACGAAAGUCUGAUGGAGCAACGCCGCGUGAACGAUGAAGGCCUUCGGGUCGUAAAGCUCUGUUGUAAGGGAAGAACAAGUGCCGCAGGCAAUGGCGGCACCUUGACGGUACCUUGCGAGAAAGCCACGGCUAACUACGUGCCAGCAGCCGCGGUAA